GCGCUUUGCAGCUCACUCCUGAGCCAGUGCCCAGCCCCAGGAGGGGCUGACCAGCUGAUGCGUGGUGAGAGACGAGCAGGCCCUCAAGAUGCACUCUCCGAGAGAGUGAAGAAAGCAACACGAUAAAGACAAGCCUCUACAGAUGGUUGGGAAAUCAAAAGACUCCAGGGUUUUUGAAACUCCCUGUCAUUUCCAGGAUCUAGCUCUUCUUCUAGGAAUAUACUUAGCUUUCCCCUGAGUCAAUGUCUGCCUACCAUUCACCCGGGAACGACUUACCUAUGAACUGGAUAUUUUCCUCUAAAAAUGAUGCAUCCUCUUCCAAGAAGCCCUCCUGGAUUGGGGCUGGGAGCCCUCCUCUGAGGACCAGCAGCCUCCUGCACCAACCAGCCCUAUGAACUUCCCCAUUUGGUGGUGGGGAGAAGGUGUCAACAUCUGUCUGCCUCAUAGAACUCUAAGCUCUCUGAAGGCAGAGGCAAGAUAAUGUGAUAAAUUGAAUAGGUUUUCAGGGCACGUCUGUGAAACUGAACAACAACAGCAGCAGCUGGAACUGAAUUUUCCUGGGAGCCCAGGAUAGGAACUAGAUUCCUGACCAGAAAGCAAGGGAUGGAGAGUCCAGGAGAGCUUCCUGGAAGAGGUGGCAUUGGGACAGGCUUGAAAAGAUGGUCAGGAAUUGGGACAGGCAGAGGAGAAGAAGGGAAGCAUUUCAGGCAAAAGGGAACAGCAGAGAUGAGACAAGUGGAAGGGUGAACUAUAGUUUAGUGGGGUGGAAGGCUGGGAAGAAUGGGGGGAUCAUACUCCAAGCCUUCAGAAGACAGAAUCCCAUGGAACAGUCCUGGCUAAAAACUGAUUUCUACUUCCUCUUCUGGAUGAGCAGAACGUGGGGAUCCUCCCUCCUUCAGGCUUUUCCUGGGAAGCCCCACCCGCCUUAUCUGCACGGAGGACACCAAGUUCCCAGGGCUGGAUGGGUGCCAGCCCCGGCUGCUGACUUGCCGCUCUGGCAACUAAGGAGCUGGAACGUGGAGCUGGGACUUCCACAUAAGUCCAGCAUCCAAGUCCUCAAAGUUGGUCCCUCCGGAGCAGUGGGAAGCACGUCUCCCAAGCUGGAGUCACUAUUCCUUGCUCUGUUGCCCAAGAGAACCCUGCAACACGCACCCAGAGCCUCAGUGUUGCCAUAGGUACAUGAGGAGGAGCGUGGGCUAGAGGCAUCAAAAGCCCUGCCUGCUCCAGGGACCUGGGAUUUCUGAGAGCAAAUGCUGCCUCUGCCUCCUUGGGGGGAGACACAGCCCCCACCACAACACCAGAUGAGACUCUCAUCAAUCCCAAGACCGAGUCCUAGCCUCUCAUCCAGCUUAGGUGGAUUGAUUAGCACCACUUUCUAGGGCUUUGUACCCUUCAUUUCUUCUUGCCAGCUCCAUCUACCUAGACCCCUCUCUUUUCCAAUUCUCAUAAACUGGACCCUCUCUUUUCUCCCCAGAAUUAAAGGGGUGCUGGAUUCUCUUAGUCUUGCCUCCCUCCCUUGGCACAUAUGCCCAUUUUGGUACUACUACUAUGACUUCUGCUAGGAUUGCUGCCACUGUCUUCUCGUAGUCCUUCUAGUCCUUUACUACGACCCUGCCAAUGCUUCCACUAUUACUGCUGGCACUUCUUACUAUGACCACCACAACCAGUACUUCUACUACUAUUGCUUCUACGGCCUCUACUGCAUCCCCACCCAAAUCUCAUCUUGAAUUGUAAUCCCCAUGUGUCGAGAGAGGAACGUGGUGGGAGUUGAUUGGCUCAUAGGGGCGGUUCCCCCCAUGCUGUUCUCGUGAUAGUGAGUGAGUUCUCGUGAGAUUUGAUGGUUUUAAAGUGUGGCACUUCCCCUUUGCUCACUCUCCCCCUCUCCUGCCAUCUUGUGAAGAUGGUGCUUUCUUCCCUUUCACCUUCCACAUGAUUGUAAGUAUCCUGAGUCCUCCCCAGCCAUGAGGAACUGUGAGUCAAUUAAACCUCUUUUGUUUAUAAAUU